GCCUUCGUGGUGUAAUGAGCAGCACACUGAGCCGGUAUUUCAGAGGUCCGCGGUUCGAUUCCCGGCGAAGGCG
rnacentral:tRNA from 1 species